AGAGUUUGAUCCUGGCUCAGGACGAACGCUGGCGGCGCGCCUAACACAUGCAAGUCGAACGAAGUCAAGAGGAGCUUGCUCUUUUUGACUUAGUGGCGAACGGGUGAGUAACGCGUGAGGAACCUGCCUCAAAGAGGGGGACAACAGUUGGAAACGACUGCUAAUACCGCAUAAGCCCACAGCUCCGCAUGGAGCAGAGGGAAAAGGAGCAAUCCGCUUUGAGAUGGCCUCGCGUCCGAUUAGCUAGUUGGUGAGGUAACGGCCCACCAAGGCGACGAUCGGUAGCCGGACUGAGAGGUUGAACGGCCACAUUGGGACUGAGACACGGCCCAGACUCCUACGGGAGGCAGCAGUGGGGAAUAUUGCACAAUGGGGGAAACCCUGAUGCAGCGACGCCGCGUGGAGGAAGAAGGUCUUCGGAUUGUAAACUCCUGUUGUUGGGGAAGAUAAUGACGGUACCCAACAAGGAAGUGACGGCUAACUACGUGCCAGCAGCCGCGGUAAAACGUAGGUCACAAGCGUUGUCCGGAAUUACUGGGUGUAAAGGGAGCGCAGGCGGGAAGACAAGUUGGAAGUGAAAUCUAUGGGCUCAACCCAUAAACUGCUUUCAAAACUGUUUUUCUUGAGUAGUGCAGAGGUAGGCGGAAUUCCCGGUGUAGCGGUGGAAUGCGUAGAUAUCGGGAGGAACACCAGUGGCGAAGGCGGCCUACUGGGCACCAACUGACGCUGAGGCUCGAAAGUGUGGGUAGCAAACAGGAUUAGAUACCCUGGUAGUCCACACUGUAAACGAUGAUUACUAGGUGUUGGGGGAUUGACCCCCUCAGUGCCGCAGUUAACACAAUAAGUAAUCCACCUGGGGAGUACGACCGCAAGGUUGAAACUCAAAGGAAUUGACGGGGGCCCGCACAA
rnacentral:rRNA from 1 species